rnacentral:rRNA from 1 species
AAUCAACGCUGGCGGCGUGCCUAACACAUGCAAGUCGAACGCUCCGCAAGGGGAGUGGCGAACGGGUGAGUAACGCGUGGGAACCUGCCCAGUAGUUGGGGAUAACCGCGGGAAACUGCGGCUAAUACCGAAUACGCCCUAAGGGGAAAGGAUUUAUCGCUAUUGGAGGGGCCCGGCGUCGGAUUAGCUGGUUGGUGAGGUAACGGCUCACCAAGGCGACGAUCCGUAGCUGGUCUGAGAGGAUGAUCAGCCACACUGGGACUUAGACACGGCCCAGACUCCUACGGGAGGCAGCAGUGGGGAAUAUUGGACAAUGGGGGCAACCCUCGAUCCAGCAAUGCCGCGUGAGUGAUGAA